rnacentral:rRNA from 1 species
GAUGAACGCUGACAGAAUGCUUAACACAUGCAAGUCAACUUGAACUUCGGUUUGGGUGGCGGACGGGUGAGUAACGCGUAAAGAACUUGCCUCACAGCUAGGGACAACAUUUGGAAACGAAUGCUAAUACCUGAUAUUAUGAUUAUAUGGCAUCGUAUAAUUAUGAAAGCUAUGUGCGCUGUGAGAGAGCUUUGCGUCCCAUUAGCUAGUUGGAGAGGUAACAGCUCUCCAAGGCGAUGAUGGGUAGCCGGCCUGAGAGGGUGAUCGGCCACAAGGGGACAGAGAAACGGCCCUUAGUCCUACGUGGGGCAGGAGUGGGAAAUAGUGGAAGAUGGACCGAGAGUCUGAUGAAGCUAUUCUGAGUGCAAGAUGAAGUUUUUCGGAAUGUAAAGUGCUUUCAGUUGAGAAGAAAAAAAUGACGGUACCAACAGAAGAAGUGACGGCUAAAUACGUG